UAUUCCUAAAUGGACAUGCAUUGUUAUUAUAGAGAGAGUGAAUAAAGACAUCGGUUUAUUGAUUGGUGUCGGAAUAGGAGGAUUUGUUUUUGGUGUUGCUGUAUUUGGAGUUCUCUACAUUACUGUUAUUCGAUACAAGAAAAAUGAAUAUAAUAGACAGGUAGAUUCUACACCAAAAAACUAUUAUCUAGAAUAGAGACAUGCUGGAGACUACAAUGAAGAGAGAGAAACACCGAAAAAGGAGGUAUCAGACAAAAUAUCCCAUGAUAGCCAUUGCUACGACCAGAACAAUAUUCUUCAAAGUGACAUUAACAACCAUCUCAAUGAAGAUCAGCGUGUUUCUGACAUUGUAUCAGACUACGACCACCCCCCUUUUGAUAAUCAGGGAGAAGAUACUUACAAUCAUAUAGGAUUACACAAUUAACACAGUGAAAUUCUAGUUUAU